GACGAACGCUGGCGGCGUGCCUAAUACAUGCAAGUAGAACGCUGAAGACUUUAGCUUGCUAAAGUUGGAAGAGUUGCGAACGGGUGAGUAACGCGUAGGUAACCUGCCUACUAGCGGGGGAUAACUAUUGGAAACGAUAGCUAAUACCGCAUAACAGCAUUUAACCCAUGUUAGAUGCUUGAAAGGAGCAAUUGCUUCACUAGUAGAUGGACCUGCGUUGUAUUAGCUAGUUGGUGAGGUAACGGCUCACCAAGGCGACGAUACAUAGCCGACCUGAGAGGGUGAUCGGCCACACUGGGACUGAGACACGGCCCAGACUCCUACGGGAGGCAGCAGUAGGGAAUCUUCGGCAAUGGGGGCAACCCUGACCGAGCAACGCCGCGUGAGUGAAGAAGGUUUUCGGAUCGUAAAGCUCUGUUGUAAGAGAAGAACGUGUGCGAGAGUGGAAAGUUCACACAGUGACGGUA
rnacentral:rRNA from 1 species